AUUUACGAGGCAGUUGACGAGUGCGAGGUAUACAAUAAGAGAUGCAGUUUAUGGGUUAAAGAUUGUACAUGUCAAGCGAGAGUCAAGAUGAUAUGGAGGAAAGCCAAAAUUCAAACCAAAAUUUCCAGAGAACCAGCAGAAAGAUAUGUCCGCAUCAGGAUUCCAGAUGGUUGCAUUUGUGCUAAAAAGACUGUCAUACUGGAUGACAAGAUAUUCAAGUUUCCAAAUUAAUAUGAAGCAAUCUACAUCAAAAGAGAUUAUCAUCGCAACAAAAUAGUUAUUUGAUCAUCAUCAUUAUCUGUUUUUUUUAUAUAAUCAAAAGGCAAUUAGACUCAA